AUGCCCUCCCGCCAGCUCCCGUUGCCCUCUUCCCCCGCCCCCCUCCCCGCCCCGCACGCCCACGCCCACGCCCACGACCGCCAGCUCCGCCGCCUCCACUCCGCGGCCGUCGCCGCCUCGGCGGCCGCCGGCGCGCUCGUAGCCGUCGCCAUGGCGCUGGCCCUGCUGCUGCUCUGGCUCCGCCGAAGGCGGGCGCGCCGGAAGGAGGCCAAGGAGGGGAAAGACGGGGCGAUGGAGCGGCUGUCGUACCGCAAGCUGCGGCGCGCCACGGGGGCAUUCGCGGCGGGGGGCAAGCUCGGGCAGGGCGGCUUCGGCCCCGUCUUCCGCGGGGUCCUCCCGCCUCCCCGCGGCGCGGGCGGCGGGUGCGGCCGCCCGGUCGCCGUCAAGGUCAUGGACGCCGCCGGGUCGCUCCAGGGCGAGCGCGAGUUCCACAACGAGAUCGCCGUCGCCUCCCACAUCCGCGCCGCGGCCGAAAAGGCGGCGUCUUCCCCUGCCGCCACCGCGGACGACGAGGGCAAGCCGGCGUCGGCGCGCGACUCCUCCAUACUGCUCCCGUUCGCCUACUCGAUGCCGAGGCGGGGGGAGGGGCGGGCGCGCCGGAUGAUGCUGGUCUACGACCUCAUGCCCGGCGGCUCCCUGCAGGACGCGCUGCUCGGCCGCCGCUGCCCCGAGCUGGUGGCCGGGUGGCCGCGCCGGCUCGCCGUGGCGCGCGACGUCGCCGCCGCGCUCCACUACCUCCACUGCGUGCUCAAGCCGCCCGUCGUGCACGGGGACGUCAAGCCCAGCAACGUCCUGCUCGACGCCGGCCUCCGCGCCCGGCUCGCCGACUUCGGCCUCGCCCGCGUCAACUCCGACCCCGACCCGGACGACAAGCUGGAGAGCGGCACGAUUGCGGAGGGGACUGAUGCGAAUGAGAAUGCUCUCGAUGGGGGGUGCGACGAUGACGUCUCUGUUGUGGCGGAGAGCACGGUCACCACGACGGUCGAUGGGGAAGGUAACGUCGCCCCCAAGUCGCCGGAGGUUGACGACGGCGGCGGCGGCGGCUUCACGCUGCCGUCGCCGGACGAGGCUGCAUCCACUUCCGGGUUUGACCAGACCAGUCUCGACAGUGGUCUGAACAGCCGGAGCUGCAAUGGUGUCGGUUCACGCACCGGUGGCGCGUCGGGGACCGGGAGCGACUGGUGGUGGCGGCAGGACAAUGCCGGACCCAGCCAUGGCGGUGUAAAGGAUUAUGUGAUGGAGUGGAUCAGAUCAGAGAUCAAGAAGGAGCGCCCCAAAAAUGAUUGGAUUGCAGGGGCAGCUGCAACCAACCCAGGGACAGAGAGGAAGAAGCAAAAGCGCAGAGCACGUGAGUGGUGGCGCGAGGAGUACACCGAUGAGCUUGCAAAGAAGCAGAAACGCAGGGCGCUUGCCAAAUCCAGGAGCCAGCAGGCCGGGCUGCAAUGGUGGGAGCGUGAUAUCGAUGACGACUUGGAUGGCAAGGGGCGGUCCAAGUGGAGUAUGGUGAAGAGCUGGAGCCGAAGAAGCAGCAGCAGCGCCAGCAAUGGCAAUGGCAGUGGCAAUGUCAAUGGGAGCAUCAACUGGUGGGUCAAUGGCGCAAGAAGCAGCCGUGAUUGGGCAAGUGGGGACUUCGUGCCCAAGAGCGGAGGCGCGGUGAGCAGCACGCCGAGCAUGCGUGGCACCGUGUGUUAUGUUGCUCCAGAGUACGGUGGUGGUGGUCCUUUGUCCGAGAGAUGCGACAUCUAUAGCUACGGUGUCCUGCUACUGGUUCUUAUCUCUGGCCGCCGGCCAUUGCAAGUGUCGGCCUCGCCCAUGUCGGAGUUCGAGAAGGCGAGCCUCAUAUCCUGGGCAAAGCACCUCGCACGUGUGAGCCGCCUUAUCGAUCUCGUCGACCCGGCCUUGAAAGAUGUAAACCAGGAGGAGGCGCUGCUCUGCAUCACCGUCGCGCUCCUCUGCAUACAGAGGUCCCCCGCUCGCCGACCAACAAGCGAAGAGCUGCUCCGGUUGCUCUCCGGAGAGGGAGAGCCGCCUCACCUCCCGCUAGAGUUCUCGCCGUCCCCACCUGGUGGGUUCCAUUUCAAAUCCCGGAAGAAAGUUCGGUGA
rnacentral:rRNA from 1 species